rnacentral:misc_RNA from 1 species
AAAUAAAAUCGGGCGUUUUUACUGUCCGGAAUUGGGUCGUCAUAACUUCGGUUAAGUGACCUAAAAUUUUGUAUGAUUUUUACAAACGUAUUUAAAAUAUUUUUGUACGUUUUUGUAAUAUUCAGUUUUAUUAGAUGUGGUCAUUUUUAUGGUUCGCGUCUAUAAUUUCUCAUC